AGGGCUGUAGCUCAGUUGGCAGAGUGAUUGCCUAGCAUGCAUGAGACCAUGGGUUCAAGCCCCAGCACUG
rnacentral:tRNA from 1 species